rnacentral:rRNA from 1 species
GACGAACGCUGGCGGCGUGCUUAACACAUGCAAGUCGAACGGAAAGGCCCUGCUUUGGUGGGGUGCUCGAGUGGCGAACGGGUGAGUAACACGUGAGUAACCUGCCCCUGACUUUGGGAUAACUUCAGGAAACUGGGGCUAAUACCGGAAAGGAGCUCCUGCUGCAGGGUGGGGGUUGGAAAGUUUCGGCGGUGGGGGAUGGACUCGCGGCUUAUCAGCUUGUUGGUGGGGUAGUGGCUUACCAAGGCUUUGGCGGGUAGCCGGCCUGCGAGGGUGACCGGCCAGCUUGGGUCUGAGAGACGGCCCGGACUCCUUCGGGCGGCAGCAGUGGGUGAUAUUGCACGAUGGGCGGAAGCCUGAUGCAGCCACGCCGCGUGCGGGAUGACGGCCGUCGGGUUGUAAGCCGCUUUCGCCUGUGCCGAAGCGUUAGUGACGGUAAUGGGUAAAGAAGCACCGGCUAACUACGUG